rnacentral:rRNA from 1 species
UACAGAGGUCUCAAGCGUUGUUCGGAUUCAUUGGGCGUAAAGGGUGCGUAGGCGGCGCGGUAAGUCGGGUGUGAAAUCUCGGGGCUUAACUCCGAAACUGCAUUCGAUACUGCCGUGCUUGAGGACUGGAGAGGAGACUGGAAUUUACGGUGUAGCGGUGAAAUGCGUAGAUAUCGUAAGGAAGACCAGUGGCGAAGGCGGGUCUCUGGGCAAUAACUGACGCUGAGGAGCGAAAGCGUGGGGAGCGAACAGG